rnacentral:rRNA from 1 species
GAUGAACGCUGGCGGUCUGCUUAACACAUGCAAGUCGAACGGGCGCAGCAAUGCGUUAGUGGCGGACGGGUGAGUAACACGUGAGAAUCUGCCAACGGGACGGGGAUAACAGGGGGAAACCGCUGCUAAGACCCGAUAAACCGAAAGGGGAAAAAGAAAUUGCCAGUUGAUGAGCUCGCGUCGGAUUAGCUAGUUGGUAGGGUAAAGGCGUACCAAGGCGACGAUCCGUAGCCGGUCUGAGAGGACGAUCGGCCACACUGGGACUGAGACACGGCCCAGACUCCUACGGGAGGCAGCAGUGGGGAAUUUUCCGCAAUGGGCGAAAGCCUGACGGAGCAAGACCGCGUGAGGGAGGAAGGCUCUUGGGUUGUAAACCUCUUUUCUCAAGGAAGAAGAAAUGACGGUACUUGAGGAAUCAGCAUCGGCUAACUCCGUGCCAGCAGCCGCGGUAAUACGGAGGAUGCAAGCGUUAUCCGGAAUGAUUGGGCGUAAAGCGUCCGCAGGUGGCAGUUCAAGUCUGCCGUUAAAGACUCCAGCUUAACUGGAGGAAGGCGGUGGAAACUGAACAGCUAGAGUGCGGUAGGGGCAGAGGGAAUUCCCGGUGUAGCGGUGAAAUGCGUAGAGAUCGGGAAGAACACCAGUGGCGAAAGCGCUCUGCUGGACCGCAACUGACACUCAGGGACGAAAGCUAGGGGAGCGAAUGGGAUUAGAUACCCCAGUAGUCCUAGCCGUAAACGAUGGAUACUAGGUGUUGUGCGUAUCGACCCGCGCAGUGCCGCAGCUAACGCGCUAAGUAUCCCGCCUGGGGAGUACGCACGCAAGUGUGAAACUCAAAGGAAUUGACGGGGGCCCGCACAAGCGGUGGAGUAUGUGGUUUAAUUCGAUGCAACGCGAAGAACCUUACCAGGACUUGACAUGUCCGGAAUCCUUGGGAAACCAGGGAGUGCCUUCGGGAACCGGAACACAGGUGGUGCAUGGCUGUCGUCAGCUCGUGUCGUGAGAUGUUGGGUUAAGUCCCGCAACGAGCGCAACCCUCGUUUCUAGUUGCCAGCAUUAAGUUGGGCACUCUGGAGAGACUGCCGGUGACAAACCGGAGGAAGGUGGGGAUGACGUCAAGUCAGCAUGCCCCUUACGUUCUGGGCUACACACGUACUACAAUGCUUCAGACAAAGGGCAGCUAGCCAGCGAUGGUCAGCAAAUCCCAGAAACUGAGGCUCAGUUCAGAUCGCAGGCUGCAACUCGCCUGCGUGAAGGCGGAAUCGCUAGUAAUCGCCGGUCAGCAUACGGCGGUGAAUACGUUCCCGGGCCUUGUACACACCGCCCGUCACACCAUGGGAGCUGGCGGUGCCCGAAGUCGUUAUCCUAACCCCUCGGGGAGGGAGACGCCGAAGGCAAAGCUGGUGACUGGGGUGAAGUCGUAACAAGGUAGCCGUACCGGAAGGUGUGGCUGGAUCACCUCCUUU